GAUGAAGAACGCAGUGAAGUGCGAUAAGUAAUGUGAAUUGCAGAAUUCAGUGAAUCAUCGAAUCUUUGAACGCACAUUGCGCCCGCCAGUAUUCUGGCGGGCAUGCCUGUUCGAGCGUCAUUUCAACCAUCAAGCCCCCGGGCUUGUGUUGGGGUCCUGCGGCUGCCGCAGGCCCUGAAAAGCAGUGGCGGGCUCGCUGUCACACCGAGCGUAGUAGAUUUUAUCUCGCUCAGGGCGUGCUGCGGGUUCCGGCCGUUAAACCACCUUCAUAACCCAAGGUUGACCUCGGAUCAGGUAGGAAGACCCGCUGAACUUAAGCAUAUCAAUAAGCGGAGGA
rnacentral:misc_RNA from 1 species